rnacentral:tRNA from 7 species
GGGUCGUUAGCUCAGUUGGUAGAGCAGUUGACUUUUAAUCAAUUGGUCGCAGGUUCGAAUCCUGCAUGACCCACCA